rnacentral:rRNA from 1 species
CUUUUGUGAAACAUUGCUCUAAAAGCACCAGACCCCAUCUGACCUUGAAAGCUAAGUAGAGUCAUCCCUGAUUAAUACUUUGAUGGAAGACCAGGGGCUAGUGG